rnacentral:rRNA from 1 species
GACGAACGCUGGCGGCGUGCUUAACACAUGCAAGUCGAACGGAAAGGCCCUGCUUUUGUGGGGUGCUCGAGUGGCGAACGGGUGAGUAACACGUGAGUAACCUGCCCUUGACUUUGGGAUAACUUCAGGAAACUGGGGCUAAUACCGGAUAGGAGCUCCUGCUGCAUGGUGGGGGUUGGAAAGUUUCGGCGGUUGGGGAUGGACUCGCGGCUUAUGAGCUUGUUGGUGGGGUAGUGGCUCACCAAGGCUUUGACGGGUGGCCGGCCUGAGAGGGUGACCGGCCACAUUGGGACUGGGAUGCGGCCCAGACUCCUACGGGAGGCAGCAGUGGGGGAUAUUGCACGAUGGGCGGAAGCCUGAUGCAGCAACGCCGCGUGCGAGAUGACGGCCUUCGGGUUGUAAACCGCUUUCGCCUGUGACGAAGCGUGAGUGACGGUAAUGGGUAAAGAAGCACCGGCUAACUACGUG